rnacentral:sRNA from 1 species
GUUAUUUUGCUUGUUUAAUGUUGCCCACAAAUGAUGAAACAUUUAAACCUUUAAUGAUAAAACGUAAUACUGCACACUCCACUUUCUUUUAAGGCGCGCAGAGAACAUCGUGAACCUGAUUGCAUUUUGAAAGAAAGCCUUGGGAACAGGCUCCAGAUCCUCCUUUGCCCUGUGUAUAAAAUGAGGACAGGAACUGAGGGAGCCUGGAGCCCAUGUUGGAACACUGCUUUAGUAUGCCCAAGGCCCUAGGCCCCACCUCUAGCCUCCAAAUAAUAAGCACACAAAGGACUGCUUCUACUUCACUCAAGGAGUCCAUAGGCUAAGGCAUGUAGGUAUGAAACAAACCCCUUAGCACAAGGAACUUUUGAGACGUCGCGGUUCCUUCCCCAAGUCACCCCACCCAAAUACGACUUCCCACCCCACAGGUGACCAGUGCCUUGUCAAAUCUCACCAAGCAGGGGCACUAGCAGGACCAUGCAGCUCACUUAAGGACAAAGGUUCUCUGCCAUCUACUUAAUGACAAGGCUUUGUAAGUAGCCCUCAGUCCUAUUUUCUGAGUCCCCCUGACUGUCAGGACUUCCCCAGUAGUUUCUUCAUACUACUGCCAGCGUGUUUCUUGUCCUUUCUAGGAUUCCCUGGCACUUCAACAACGAGAAACCUGUUUGCCAUAACAGUUAAACUAUCCUUCUCACCUUCCUACACACCAACUUCAUGCUCGGUCUCAGAACAACAACAACAAAACAACAACAACAAUACCUAAAAAGGCAAACGGUGAGACAAAAAAUUGUCAAAGACAACAAAAUGAAACAACAAGUGCAGACAAAAACAAACACAGAGUCCACUUUGAGUUGGCCCACUACUCCUGACUGAGAAACUCACUGAAACUCGAUUGGAAUAAUUAUAAUAAGAACAAGAACAAAGAGAAAUCCACCUUCCAAGCACGUCUCAAUUGUAAAUGCCUUCCUCCUUAGGAAUUGGACUUUGUGUCCAGUUCCUUAUUACACUGCUGACAUUUUGUCUGGUUGUAACAUAUGCGUGUCCUGUGUACAUUCACCAAAUAUUUGACAACCUUUUGGACAGCAAGAUGGACUCACCCCCGCCCCCGCACCCUCACCCCCAACACACACACACACACACACACACACACACACACACCCCUUCUGAGGUCAUUUUUCAUGAAGAAAUUGGGUGAUUUUAAUUGUCAGGCAUCUUGGGAGUUUUUCUCCUUUGCAAACUGAUAGAAGUACAAAUAAAAUGAAUGAACAAAUGUGAAGAUUCCUAAGAUAUCAAGAUAAGAGUAAUCCUAGAGGGAGUGGGCUGUUUUGCUUGGUUGAUAGAGUGACAUGGGGAAAUCUAUUUAUAAGAGCUGAAGGGAAAAUUCAGCCAAGGACUGAGAAGUACCAGGCCCUUUCUCCAAAAGGAUUAUGAAGGCCUAUUUAUAGAACCCAGCAGGCCACCAUGUCCUGGAUCCAGAUACACACAGUCACAAACAGAAAGGACAGAAGCACUCCAAGGAGGAUUUGUGUAAUAUUUUAUUUGACACCAGAGUUAGCUUUAAAGGAAAAUUAAGAGUGAAGCUAAGAAUUAUUAAUUAGAACACAGAAAUUACUUAGCAUCUGACUUUAAGGCAAAGGAUUAUCACAGGUUUUUACAUAAUUAAGUGGACCAUGUGGAGCAGGAGGGCAGUAAGCCACAGACAUCACUUGCAACACAAUAAAGUCCAGUUCAUGGCAGAUUAUUUUCUACAGUAUAAAACUACUACAGAAAACACGCUGGAAAGAUCACAGGGUUCAGGGAUAUUGUAACAGCGGGUAAAAAAAAUAAUAAGGUGCAUCACGAAGUUUCUGAGUCUGUUUUGCUUCUGAAGAGAUUUCCUUACACCAUGCAGUAGACGGUUAACAACCCCCUCUGUGAAGCCAAAACAGCUGUCCUUCCUGCCUGUGGAACAACAGAUAACAGAAGCUACAUUCCGAUGAGCAUUUCUAAGUUGAUCCUUCCUGGUCAUGGUCUGCACACUAACUUAUCACAAAGACUGCGUCUUUCUGAAUUGUCAUUUGCCAUUGUUUCUUUGAGAAGAACAUAUACAAUCAUAGCUUAGUUUCCCUGCCCAACACUUAAGUGGAUUUUCAUUAAAAAAAAAAGAUCAAUGUCAUAUAUUGCAAUAUGCUUCCUCAUUAGGACCAAAACACGUAGUAUUUUUUAAAAAAUAUUCCUAUAUAGUAAUAGACUGAUAGAAAGUGGUGUUUGGGUAUAACCAUAUGUAAUAUGCGAGAAUACUUGCAAAUUUGGUUUUAUUAUAAAAUACCAUAGUAGGACAUGUUGUAAUAUAGUAAAAUGCUUAGCAAAAUAUUCUGCACUGAGUUUAGAAGUAACUGCUACUGAUAAUUUUUUUAAAUACUGCAAAGUACCCCUAAGGAAACAGAAUAAUUAGCAAGACCUUAAAGAACUUGAUUUUGGCAAAAAGGGGCGUUUUUACAAUGCCCCUCAACUGGUGUGUAUCUCAAAAUUCUUGUUAGCUACAACAGAUAACAAGUUGAAUUUGAUGUUAGU